UACGGAGGAUGCAAGCGUUAUCCGGAAUGAUUGGGCGUAAAGCGUCCGCAGGUGGCAAUGUAAGUCUGCUGUCAAAGCGUCUGGCUCAACCAGAUAAAGGCAGUGGAAACUACAUAGCUAGAGUAAGUUAGGGGUAGAGGGAAUUCCUGGUGUAGCGGUGAAAUGCGUAGAGAUCAGGAAGAACACCGGUGGCGAAAGCGCUCUGCUGGACCAUAACUGACACUCAGGGACGAAAGCUAGGGGAGCGAAUGGG
rnacentral:rRNA from 1 species